AUUUAGAGCAGGGGGUUGUGCAGUGGUCAGCAACCUGUGGCUCUAGAGCCACAUGCGGCUCUUUAGCCCCCUGAUAUUGGCUCUUCCAGGUGCGGGCUCACAUGUACAGUGCGAUAGCAUUUUCGUAUCCCGUAGCAAAAAUAGGCAGGAGGGUGAAGACCAGGAAGCGGUGAGGGCUCUGUACUCACCGCUUCCUGGUCCUCGGUUGUAGGCUGUGCAGGGCUGCGCACAGUGUGAGGCGCUCUGUGACGUCACGCUGUGCACGCCAGUUCACAGCACAGCCGACAGCAGGAGGAACACAGAGCGCGGGUGGUGAGGAGCAGCGGCAUCCAGGAGCCGGAGAGGUAAGUGCUUUUUUAUUUUAUGAAACUUGGGGCUGAUCUAAGGCAAUGGGGUGAUGAGAAUCAUAAUGGGGGAUAUGAGAGGCAUCAUGGAUGAUGAGAGGCAUCAUGGAUGAUAAUGGGGAUGAUGAGAGGCA